CCACACCCUGGGUUGGGAGACCUGCUCCUCAGCUCAGUUCCCAGCCCGAAUGAGGAAUCUGGAACUAAGACCCAGGCUAAGAUGCUUUCAUAAUCCAUUCUUUCCUCUUUCUCUUUUUUCCAUCUAGGAAGGCAGAAUAUUUAGACUUCUGCCCAACUCGCAACUAGUUGGCCUUCAAACCUGCACUGUCAUUGCCCUGGUCUUUUCCCAAGGGAAGGUGCUGGACUGACCAUCACGAUGGCGCCUAGAGAGGAUGGACAACUGCUUCCUGCACACCAUGAUGAUAAGUGUGUGAAUCCUCCUGUCUACACUAGCUGGGUGAUUAUAACGAUAAUAAUUCAGACAGCUUUGGACUUUGCAAUGAUUUUAUAAUCCAGCAAGUGUCCAGCAGGACAAAAUUGGAGGUAGCAAGGUUCAUACUGGAGAAAUAAUGAAUAAAAUCAGACAUAGCCCAGGAGGCCAGGGCGGGGUCCCACUAGUGUUUGGAUGGAAGAUGUCCAAGUGACAUCUGUCCAAUGGGACAGCUUCCAGGACUGGAUCUGCAUGGAAUCCAAACCAGGAGAGUCAAGGAGAAAAAGGGAAGUCUGCUUGAGUGUGGAUUUUUCAAGCUGCCUUUUUGGUUGGCCCGAGCUGACUCCAGUACAUCAGAUAUGCCAAUAGUGCCUUUGACCCUCCUGGGUAUAAAACUGGUUUUAUUGUGUUUGUAAUUUCUGUUGGGUCAUUCUUAAGUUAGUAACAAAUUUGAAGACAGCCAGGCAUGGGCUGGGAAUAUUGGGAUGAGGAAGACCUCGUGCGAAAAAAGACCAAAGCUACCAAUUGAGGAAUGAGAACAGAGGCCUGGAGGGACCGAUCUGCCCCAUAGGAAGUUCCAGAAGGAGAUCCAGGCUGAUGAGUAAAGUGCAGUGUCCCACUGGUACAACAAUCACAGGCCACACUUCAGAAUUAGGGGCUGGAUCAGCAAUGGAGUACCGAGAUAGGUAACACUCAUGAAUGCAGGUGCAAAGUAUAUCUCAAGGCCCUGGGACAGCUGAUAGCUGCGGACCCACUCUCUGGUAUCUAGAAGGAAAUGCCAAGAGCUAAGAAGCACCACAUCUGAGGAGGGACUGGGAUGCUUUCUUCCUCUCUUCCUUCAUCAAAUAAUUAAUGAACAUGUCUAUAACUGCUGGGUCCUGGGACAAUUUGGUGCAUGAACAGACACUCUUUCAUGGUGCUUGGAGGGGAACAGAGUAGAACUAAUAACCAAAUGCAUGAAAUAAUUACACAUUGUGAAAAGAUCUGUCUAGGAAAUAGCACUGAGAGAGUAAAUAAUUGGUAGUAGGGGUGAUUAAAGAACCAUGUACAGCAUAGCGAACAAAGCUUAGUGUGAAAGACAAGGAAAGCCAAGACUUGAAGCAUGAGAUGGAGCUGGCCAGCUUCAGAACAUAGAGGAGAGAAACCCGAUAAAGAGAACAGCGUAUGCCAAGGUUCUGAGUCAGAAAAGCUAUGGCUUGUUGUAGGAAGUAAAGGGGAUCAGGAUGGUGGGAGAAUGGGCAAGGGAGAGAGAAUGGGUUACUGAAGCUGACAUACCUAAGGGAGCUGUAUCUGGCAGUUAGCUUUUGGAAACAAACAACAACGACACUUGUAAAACAAUAAUGAUGUAGAACAAUAAAGAUUUAUUAUUUCUGAUGAUUCUAUGGCGU
rnacentral:lncRNA from 1 species